AUGAGGGGAACAGCAAACACAAAUGCCACAGCCUCUACCCGACCUAGGGCACCACCAGCAGGCUUUGCCAAAAUCCAUGUCGAUGCCGGAGUUGCACGGCACAACAGGGGAGGAAUAGCGGCGGCAAUCUGCAGGGAUGAUAGUGGCAAUUACCUGGGCAGCUCAGCUUUGGUAAUCCCAGGAGUGUGUGAUGUGGCGACUUUGGAAGCUCUCGCUUGCCGGGAAGCACUCGCGCUCGCUGAAGAUCUGCAUAUUCAUCAGUUUAUCAUAGCUUCAGAUUCAAGAGAAGUGAUCAAUGACAUAAACAAAAGCUACAGAGGGAAGAAUGGUGCGAUCAUCUCAGAGAUUAACCUCCGAGCUUCUGGUUUCAAUUGUUCUUUUACUUUCGAAGGCCGGCAGUCGAACGACGAUGCCCAUAGAAUAGCUAGAUUAUCACUUUACAGCAGGGGCGCCAUCUUUGGCUUGUUUAUCCCCAUGCGAAUUGUAUUCCACAAACUGUGGCUUUUGAUCAAUAAAGUUUGGUCUUACCCCUCAAAAAGUGAUAUAUAUCAAUUAUCCCUUGUUGGACGCUUCCUAUUUGGCGCUUCAGACACCCCAGUGUUUUUGCAAAUGGACACCUGA
rnacentral:rRNA from 1 species